rnacentral:hammerhead_ribozyme from 1 species
GCACUGCUGAGGAGUCCCAUACCAGGACGAAACUUCCGUCCAGUGC